rnacentral:misc_RNA from 1 species
UUUUUAACAACAAAAAAUAAAUAGACACUUUCAUUAUUAAAGAAAAGAAGAUGAAACACAUGAUGAAGCUUUAUUCACAAACCUAUAAAAAAAUAAUACAUAAAACGCACAAAUGCAUCGACAGACUUAGCCUGCUGAUAGAUGCACUUAUGAGCUUGGUCUUCCAUGCCCACAACUUUUAGAUACUGCUAUAAGAUUGCCCUGCAAUAACAUAUAAUUAAUUAACCAAUUAGUCCAGAAUCAAAAGACACCCCAGUAGAAGGCAACCACGAAUUUCCAUCAAUGAAACUGCCGACGGUGAACGUUUCAGCGGCUGCCGCGGGGAUAUUGCCGCGAUAUCCAGGCCAGUGGACCCUACCGGAAGUUGAAGCUCCAGGGCCUGAGUUCAUAUAUUCCCCGUAAUAAAGUGUGCUAAGGGCAAAACUGCCAGACCAUGGAUACCAUCCAGCAGGAUUAAUAGAGCCAUCAAUAUAGGAUUGCAUAAUAACAGUUCUGGAAUAUUUCUUCCAAGGUCUUCCAAGAUAAGUGAUCUUGGAACCUGAAAGGUCUGAUGCUGCUCCUAUCUUGCAAUUGUGUAUGGAAAUACCUGUGUUCUGAUUUGGAUCAGUGCGACCUUGAGCUGUGACAUAGUUCCUAGAGCCUGAAGAAGGUUUUCUGGCAAAAAUGUUACAGUUCUGAAAAACAACAGCAGAAUUUCCAAAUAUGAAAUCUACUGUCCCAUAAAUGUCUGUAUCUCUGUAGAAUUGGCGCUUGGAGAGGGUGAAGAGUGUGUCUUGAUAGCCUUCAAUUGAGCACUGAUAUAUUACUGAUCUAUCUGACCCAACUCGAAGGGCAACUGCUUGAUGCUUCUCUGGACCCGCACUGUUUACAAAUGUUAUGCCUCGAGCCAUGAAUCCAUCUCCCAUGGCACCAACCGUAGCAGAUUCGUAAGUUGACGAUCCGUCGGCAGCGUUUCUACUACCAACAAUGACCGUUUUGCCCUUCCCAUCACCAACUAACAUAACGUUCUUCUGCUUUGUAGGAAAAUUGAGAUUCUCCUUAUAAGUGCCUGCUUUUAUGUAAAUUACAUUUUUGCCCCCAGCGGCCAAAGAACCCAACACCCCAAUUGCUUCUGCUAUGGUCUUAUGCGUUCCGCUCCCAUCCUUGGCUACCACCGCUUGGGGUUUUAUCUCCCCUAACGGAGCUUCUAGAAGCUUCCGCUCUGACGCCGACACCCAACUCGGAAACCCACUCCCGGACAACAGUUUCCGGCCACCACUGCUACUAGGGUUAAAUUUGUUAUUGGCAUCUUCUGUCCCAUAAUGGGACACAUAAAUUGCCAAGGAAUUGCUUAUGUGGUGACUUAAAUUUCUUGCCGUGGAAACCAUUACACCUUUUUCUUCACUAAUCUUAAUAUUUUGAAGGCUUUCAAUGCAUGUUUCUUGAUUGGUAAGUGCAGCACUAAGCCAUGUUUGGACAUCACUGUGGCUACGGAUAAGGUUGUUCUUGCGGUUGAUAACAUUAGAGAGUUGGUCUAAGGUAUCAUCAAGAAGCUCAAUACAAUCACUCAUGGCACCAGUAGGAGCCAGAUGGGUCUGGGCAUUACUGUGAGCAGAGGGACUAAGAACAGAGGCGAGGUCUAGAGCCGAAUGAGCUUGUUUCAAGGUGUAGUGAACAGAGAGAUCAAACAGCUCUUGUGGGGUUGUUGGGAGAGCAGUGGUUUUCAGUGAAACAAGGAAAGAUUCACAAGCAGCUUUGUAAAAGGUGGCUUUACAGGCAGAGGAAAUGGAUGGUUCAGUGGCUGCUAGAGUAGCCACGCAGAAGAGUUUGAUCAUAAAGAAUAAAGUAAGGGGAAUUGAGCAUUUUUUGCUCCUGGGCUUUGCAUGGGAGAAGCUUGCCAUUGUGUACAUGUGGCUGUGUGCAUGGAUGUAGUUCGAC